rnacentral:rRNA from 1 species
AUGGCCGCCGCCACACUCCGCUCUGCCCUCCUCUCCUCCUGCGCCCUCCGCCGGCUCGCCUCCGCCUCCGCGCCGCGCGCCCCCCGCCUCGCCCAGCCCAAGGUGCAGGGGUUCGCCCGGGCUCGCCGGUCCUACCCGGCCGCGUUCGCCGCCUCCGCCAUGUCGACGUCGUCGGGGGCCAAGGAGGCGCCGGCCAACAACCCGGGCCUGCAGGCCAAGGUCGACCCCGCCACCAAGGGCUACUUCAUGCAGCAGACACUUGAAAAGCUCAUAAAUGCUAAUUCAACUGAGGUUGAUUGGGAACGUUCCUUCUAUUUGAAUUUAGUCGCUCACACGUCAUAUACUGUCACAGUGGCAUUGUGCAGGUAUGUUUCUGUGGCACUUCUGCUAAGAUCUUACAAGCUUUGUAUGCUCUGA